GGAUGUGAGGGGAGGCGGCGGGGCCCGGCGGGGGCGGCCCCGAGGUGAGGCCCGGGGGGGACUGGGGGGGUAUCGGGGGGGUACCGGGGGUGCCCACGGUGGUGGGCAGGGGGCCGCGGCCCCGCUCCGCCGGAGCUGGGGGCGUUGAGGCCGGAGAGGGUCCGGGGAGAGCUGGGAUCGGCCUGGCCGUGCCUGAGGGGGCUUCGGUGUUAGGGCCUGCAGUUAGCUCUUCCUUCUCAGCACCAGCUCGAUGAUGUUAGAUAGCCGUGGGUAGGACAGGUUCCCCUGACCAGUCCCAGGACUCCCUCUGCUCCUUCUCCAGCUCUCAACUGCUUUGCACCAUCUUCUCCCAAGUGCUUUUCACCAGGACUUUGCUUGGUGUCAGUGCUGCCUGCACUGGGACUGCCUCUCCCGCAGCGUUUUG
rnacentral:lncRNA from 1 species